CCGCCGCGCUCGGAGCUCGGAGCUCGGAGCUCGCAGCUCGCUUCGCCCUGCGCCUCUGUCGCCGCCGCCGCUGCCACCGCCACCCGCACACCCUUGGCGCGUCCACGCACCGCUCCGCUCCUUGCAGCCGGCACAGAGUGCGCUUAUCGCUCGUUCAGGGCAGAGUAUCCCCGUUGCAGCCCCUCGGCGAUGGCCACCAAGAUCGACAAAGAGGCUUGCCGGACGGCGUAUAACCUGGUGCGCGACGACAGCUCGGCCGUCAUCUGGGUGACUUUUAAAUACGACGGCUCCACCAUCGUCCCCGGCGAGCAGGGAGCGGAAUAUCAGGACUUCAUCCAACAAUGCACAGAUGACGUCCGAUUGUUUGCCUUCGUGCGCUUCACCACCGGGGAUGCCAUGAGCAAGAGGUCCAAGUUUGCCCUCAUCACCUGGAUUGGCGAGAACGUCAGCGGGCUGCAGCGCGCCAAGACGGGCACCGACAAGACCCUGGUGAAGGAAGUGGUGCAGUGCCACUGGUGAGAUGUGCCCCAGACUGUUUUCAGGGUGCGGGCUAGGAGGUCAGUAGCUGCGUUUGCCACCUGACCGUGGAGUACUGGCAUCAUGGUGACUGGGUCUACCUUGGCGGGUGGGGGAAGUGGCUCACGGGGACGAAGGCUGGAAGGAUGACCAAAAUGGCGCCACUUCCUGAUGGGGGGAUGGAUGACUUCAACGGGGGCCAUGGGGAACCAAGGGGAGAAAUCACACGAGUGCCCUCUGAAUAGCAUCUGGCACACAGGUACACAGUAACAUUUGGUGGAACGUCAACCUCAUGAGUGCCAGCAGGGGUCUUGAAUGAUGAUUUUGAUGGCCAUAGAAUGACUGUAUCCACCAUGGCGCAGCUUCCUAGUUGGGACAGGUGGCCGCUGGCCUUGGCUGGCUUGGGCCUGUGGCCCUGUUAGACCGAGAGGAAUGUACACUUGAUUCUGGCUUUGAGCUCCUGAACACGUCUACCUGUAGGACUCUCUAUUUUCAAGUAUUUUUUCCAUUCUGGGUAUAACACAAAUGGACACUACUGGGAAAUUUCCCAAGUGGAUCAUAUGGGGGCUAAGCCAUGGGGUUGUACUGAGAAAAAAAAAAAAAAACAAUCAAAAUCAAAAUCCUAGAAAGAUAAGCUGGGGAAGAGAGCAAAGGGGAGAGCAUUUUUUCCCUACCAAAGGGUUCUCUUUUGUCUUUUGAGGGGCACACCUGUGGCAUAUGGAGGUUCCCAGGCUAAGGGUCUAAUUGGAGCUGUUGCUGCCAGUGUACGCCACAGCCACAGCCACGCCAGAUCCGAGCCACGUCUGUGACCUACACCACAGCUCACAGCUAUGCCAGAUCCUUAACCCAUUGAGUGAGGCCAGGGAUCAAACUCGCAACCUCAUGGUUCCUAGUUGGAUUCAUUCCCACCGUGCCAAGAUGGGAACUCUGGAUUCGCUAUUUUUGCAAAAGGAUUUCCCAAAACCCACGGGUGAGGAGGAGGUAGCUAACAGGCGUAGGGCUUCUUUUUGAGGUGAUGAAAAUCUUCCAAAAUAUUCUGAAAUCUGGGGUGCUGGUUGCACGUAUCUGAGAAUGUACCAGAUGCCACUGCAUUGUGAAACACAGAAGUGAAAUGCACACGCAUACGUAACGGCUGUGUGCAGUGUGUGUUCUGGACUGGAUGCUUGAACAGAAAAACGGGCGAAGUUGGAAUGGAGUCUGGAGUUAAAUCACUAGUAACGUUGCAGCGUUGGCAUCUUAGCUGUGACAAACGUACCUCUGUAACAGGAGAUGUUCACAAUUGUCUAAAUGGCCCGUGGGGUACGUGGAAACUCUGGGUCCUGGCUCUUGCAACUUUUCAGUAAAGCCAAAACUAUCUCCAAAGAAAAUUUUUAUUUAAAAAAUGAUAACAGGGGGGAAAUUCCUAUCAUUUCUAUUAUCGCAGGCACUUUUUCCAUCUUUCCUACCACCGGGCGAAUGCACCCAGCUCUGGGCGUUGCUGUGGUCAUAGCCUGCAGAUCACAUCCUAUCACUGCCUCUCUCUCUCUUUUUUUUAACUUCACUUACCUUCAUAAAUUAUGUGGCUGCCGUUUUUGUAGUGAACGUUUUCCCGGGGACCGAGUGUCCCAUUUCACAAGUGCGCUGUGAUACCCUGAAAGCUCCCUGGCCUUGGUCUCUUGAGCUGCUUCCAGUUUUAUCAAACCAAUGUUUUAACACAUGGCGCGCCUUUCUCUGCUCCACGGGAUUCUUAGACCAUGUUCUCAGGAGCUGGGGUUCCAGAGUUAAUAGGGGUGAUUAUCAUUUUAAAAAGGCAUACGUUGUCAGGUUCCCUCCUAAAGGGUUAGCGCCAUGCCCGGGGACAUGGUAAAGAAAAAAUUUUUUUUUUGAUCAUCAUAGGGCUGCACCUGUGGCAUAUGGAGGCUCCCAGGCUAGGGGUCAAAUCGGAGCUGAUGACCUGCCCCACAGCCACGGCCACGCGGGAUCAGAGCUGUGUCUGUGACCUACACUGCAGCUCAGGGCAAUUUCAGAUCCUUACCCUACUGAGCAAGGCCAGGGAUCAAACCUACGUCCUCAGGGGUGCUAGUCGGAUCUGUUUUUGCUGUGCCACAGCGGGAACUCUUCAUAGCGAAUAGUCAACAAAUGCUAUUUCUUCCAUACCGUAAACAGCAUUACCAGACGGCCCUGGGAUUGGCACCUGUCUGGCACUGGCACCCUUGCUCUGAUGGCCCCCGACUCAAUCCUUUGGGCUCUUCUUCUACAGGACAGUUGGGGUUUGAAUGGUUAACCAGCUUUCAGAGUUUUCCUCUAUGGCAGCAGCAUGGAACGUGCACAAGAAUGCAGGUCCCUGGCCAAAGGUCUCCCGCUGAACUCUGCCAUCCUGGCUUAUUCCUCUCGUGGGCCAGCCCCGCGUGGCCAGAACAGGGCACACAGGGAAAGGAUGUGUGCUGGGCAGCGUCCACUGGGGACAGUCUUUGGAUCUUGCAGAGCUUCUGUUUUUGGUUUGUUUUUUUUUUCCACUUUUAAGACUGUAGUAAAAUACAUCACAUAAACCGCUGCCCAUCUUAAAGUGUACAGCGCAGUGGCGUUAAGUACUUUCACAGCGCUGGGCAACCAGCCCCAUCGGACAAAAGUUCCAGAACUUGUUUUUAAUCGCCCCUCCCCCAAAGGGAAACCUUGGCCCUCUUAGCAGUCUGCAGAAUUCCUCUGCAAUCGAGACCUCUUCUUAAUUUGGUUAAGUGGGUUAAGAGGGUGAUUCGGGUAACUUCAUUUGGGAGUUUUGGUUACACUUCAUUUGUUCGCGAGCUCAAAUGCAUUGCAGAAAAAAGGGGCGUUGCAAAAAAGGAAUUAUUUAAAAAAGGAGAGUCCUAGAAGUUCCCAUGUGGGCAGCAGGUCAAGAAUCCAGUGUUGCUGCAGCUGUGGCACUGGUUGCAGCUGUGGCCUGGGUUUGAUCUCUGGCCCGGGAACUUGCACGUGCCAUGGGCGUGGCCCAAAAAAGGGGAGAGUUCCCUGGUGGUCUAAUGGUUAGGAAUCAGUGCUUUCAUUCCUGUGGCCCAGGCUCAGUCCCUGUCAGGAACUAAUAUCCCACAUAAGCUGUUGCAGACUGUAGCCAAAAAUAAACAAACAAAUAGAUAAAUAAAUAAAUACAAAUUAAAAGGAGAAUCGCCUGGCUCUCUGAACUGGGAAGGGCAGGUUUACCAGCUUUGGGUGUGUCUAGGUCAAGGGCUGAAGCAUUAUCUUCCUUUCGUCUCUCUUUUCUCUUUCCUCUGGGUUUGGCCUCAGGUGGUCUGUGUGCAGUAGGAGAAAUGAUGCAGGCCUGGUGGUUCUUUUGGGUCUUGAAACCAAGGGAAGAAAGAGCCCUCCUCCCUCUGUGUCAAUCAUUCCCUUAAAAGGAUCCAAUUGGCCCAGCUUAGGUCACAUGUACAUCCUGUGGGAGAGGGAGGUGGGGCCUCAUGAUUGGCAGCUCCACAUCCAAUCCCAUUUGUUAAAAGAAAAGGAUGCUGGUGGAUAGAAGCACCAUGUCCCCGCUGCUGGUGGGGGAAUCAGAGAUGGUGUCUUGAACUGUAGGUGUCUUGUAAUAUUUAGUCCAUUAUCUUUGCAUAUUCCUCCUCUGCAUUUUAAAAAGUUCAGUGGCGUUCCUAUCGUGGCGCAAUGGACACGAACCUGACCGGCAUCCAUGCGGACGCAGGUUUGAUUCCUGGCCUUGAUCAGUGGGUUAAGGAUCCGGCGUUGCGGUGAGCUGUGGUGUAGGUCGCAGACCCGCCUCGGAUCUGAUGUGGCUGUGGCUGUGGCUGUGGCCGGCAGCUGUAGCUCCGAUUGGACCGCUGGCCUGGGAAC
rnacentral:lncRNA from 1 species